UUCCCUUCCUUCACACAUGGAAGGUACCACUUCUUUUUGUGCUUCUACUUAACAGGCAGAUAGUCUCCUGGGAGUCCCCCCUCUGGGAGCACAGCUUGUAAGGGACAUUAUAAGUUUUCUGACCUUUACACUUUCCUGCUUCAGGGUUUCACAUCACAGUUACCAAACCUUUAGUAAAGGACUGCAGGCUGUCAGUCAGAGCUGGCUAAUACCAUGCUAUCCAGCCAGGUCAACAUGGAAUAGAAACAAAUGUUUAAUUUGCAGGCCUAACACAGCCAUCAUGGCAAAGCCUAAAUGACUGCUUCCAGUAGUUAAGUAUAUGUUACAAAUACUUAAUUUGAGAUAACUGAAAUGUGACUUUCUCUGACUAUUAUUUUGCCUACAUCAAUGUAUGAUAAAUCCAAAAUAUUAUUUGUAAUAUCUAUACACUUAAGGUCAAACAGUUCAUUACAGCAAUAGAUGGGGAAAGGGAGUUGGAGAGAGAUGGAUAAUUAGCUUUUCUCUCCUCUUAUUCUGUCCUCCCAAAUUAUACAUUUUUCUUCCUUGGAUCUGUUCCUCCCCCCAGCAGACAGUCUCACCAUGCGAUCUCUCCUGUCAUGGCAUGGAGAAAAAGCUCCAGGAUUGAACAUGUACACAUCAGAGAAAAUUUAUGGACUGGCAUUUCAUCAGAAGGGUUCCAAGUGUGCAGAUUUGUAUCCAAAACCAGUCAGAGAUAGAUCCAUGACACGCAUCAACAUUCUGGGACUUCCAGCACAAUCUUGAGCUCAUUCUACAGUCAUAAAGCAUGCACAAUGAUGUGGAACACUACAAAAGCUACAGUAGCAGGUGUAUGAGAUUGGAGCAUUACUCUUAGGCAGCAAAGCUUAUGAGUUAGCUCUGGUAAGCAUCCUAAAUAACUGUUAUUACUUUUAUAUGACAUCUUUGUGUAUAGUCUUCACAAUACAAGAAAAUAUUUUGGAAUAUAUUUUGAUUGUUUGAAGUAUAUUAAAUGUCUUAAUAUUCUGUAUCUAUACAAAGAAUAGAAAGUUACCAUAGAUAAAAAUCUUUCAAGAGAUCUUCUUAAUAGAUAGCAAAAAGAAAUUCAGCUACAUGUAAAUAAAGAUUCAACUUCUAUAACCCA
rnacentral:lncRNA from 1 species